GGGAUUUCAGAUAAGGAAAAAUGUAGAGGGAUAGGAGUUCCAACAUAAGUACAUAACUCAUCAUGAGAUAGACAAAGGAGCCGUAAACAUGGGGAAUAAUACAUGAGCACUACAUGAUCAAACAAUGUCUUCACUCUUCACUAAUAAAGAAAAAGUAGUUGGGCACUUGGGCUGCUGGGCUUGUAACUUCUAAGUUCUAAGCCACUUUGCGCUGGGCUUUUACUUUCAUGGAAAUGCUGGUCCCUCAACAUUUAUUUUCCUAUUUUCAUUCCUAAAUCCUUCAGUCUUCGCUCAAAUUUCUCAUCCUCCUAAACCCUAACUCUCCUUCGGCCUUCCGGCGAUAUCACCACCGGAAAGAUUCGAAAAUAAGCUUUUGAGUUAAGCGGCGCUGUUCGACGGUUCGAGGCUGUUCGACGGAGCGCACGAGUCACCUGUCACCACCAUCUUCUACAGUUAAGGUUGUUUCCGACGAGGUUGUCUUUGGAGAAAGCCGUGGUGUCUUCAUUUAUAACCAUGUGUAGGAUCUUCAUUUGGAAGCUGGCUUAGAAGGCUAUAGCUGUCUUUUUAAUUUGGAGAUUACAGAUAUCCUUUUGUGUGAGAAGUGUUGCCUAUGUAAUAAAGGUGGUAAAUAUAUUGAUAAUCUGUUCAAGAGGUGUCUGUCAGACUGUCGAUGUCAGUGUCUCGUAUAUGGAAAUAUGGUUACCUGAGUCUCAAUGCUGAUGCGAACUUAAGUAUUCUCAUUAAUCUAUGUCUGCUUCAGACUUUGGUGGUAA